AUACGUAGGUGGCAAGCGUUGUCCGGAAUUAUUGGGCGUAAAGCGCAUGUAGGCGGUUUGGUAAGUCGGUCGUGAAAAUGCGGUGCUUAACGCCGUAUGGCGAUUGAAACUGCUGAACUUGAGUGCAGGAGAGGAAAGGGGAACUCCCAGUGUAGCGGUGAAAUGCGUAGAUAUUGGGAAGAACACCGGUGGCGAAGGCGCCUUUCUGGACGGUGUCUGACGCUCAGAUGCGAAAGCCAGGGUGGCGAACGGGAUUAGAUCCCCCGGUAGUCCUGGCCGUAAACGAUGGUUACUAGGUGUGGGAGGUAUCGACUCCUUCCGUGCCGGAGUUAACGCAAUAAGUACCCCGCCUGGGGAGUACGGCCGCAAGGCUUAAACUCAAAUGAAUUGACGGGG
rnacentral:rRNA from 1 species